rnacentral:rRNA from 1 species
GACGUAGGGUGCGAGCGUUGUCCGGAUUUAUUGGGCGUAAAGAGCUCGUAGGCGGCUCGUCGCGUCGACCGUGAAAACCCGCGGCUUAACUGCGGGCUUGCGGUUGAUACGGGCGGGCUAGAGUUCGGUAGGGGAGACUGGAAUUCCUGGUGUAGCGGUGAAAUGCGCAGAUAUCAGGAGGAACACCGGUGGCGAAGGCGGGUCUCUGGGCCGACACUGACGCUGAUGCGCGAAAGCUAGGGGAGCGAACGGG